UCGCUCCUACCGAUUGAGUGAUCCGGUGAAUAAUUCGGACCGCAGCAUUGUUCAGCUUCUGAUCGUUGCAGUGGAAAGUUUAGUGAACCUCAUCACUUAGAGGAAGGAG
rnacentral:rRNA from 1 species